rnacentral:lncRNA from 1 species
ACAGAACAUACGCGUUCAGUGCAGCAUUGAUAUAUUGUUUGAUAACUCUGUUUCAGCAGGUCAACACUCCAUGUCUGAAGAAAAAAGGGCAACAAACACAAAGUACUGAGAAAGCAAAGCUGCCUGUGACCAGUAUCCUCUAGUUUAACAAUAAAUUUAUUGUAAUUCACCAGCAAAAUCAGAACGAUUACCAAUAAGAAUGUAAACAUGUUUGGAUAAGAUAAAAUUCAAUAAUUUUCCUCAUAAUUUCUGACAUUGCUCAUAGAAACACCAACAUGUUUUUACUUAACUAUGACUGUGCCUAACAGACAACAUCUGAUUCCUGUGUGUUGAGACGGAUAAAAAAAGAGAGACGUAUGCAUGGAGCAGAAGUUAGUCAUCACCUGCUACAUUGAUAUGAUUCAUUUGUCUCGAUGAAAGCGAUUUCAACAUGAUUAAAAACAGUCUAAUUUAGAGACAUAUCUGUUACAUCAGCAGGGAUUGCAGUUGCAACAGCAUCAGUGUUUUCUUUUUUGAUAACACUUAAGAAAAAUCGAAUGUUUGCUCUUUUUUGUGAGGUUCAAUCUACAUCUUUACACUGGAAAUAUUAUCUACACACAAAGUCAUACUGCCAGACUCCUGACUGUACUCAAUCAAGCAUUGGUCAAAUUAUUUGGCUGUAAGAAAACCCAGAAUUCUAUUUCUAAUCUUCUUCAGUUUAAAACCAUAGAUAAGUGGGUUUAUAAGAGGAGGAAUGACAAAAAGCAUAAUUGCAAUAAAAUUUUGGAUGGUUUGAGGUAUAUUUUUAGAACCAAAUCUGAUAUACAUGAUAUCACAAAGCAUAGACGUGAGAAAAAUGAGCAAGGAGGUUAAAUGAGGCACACAUGUCUGCAUGAACUUGGCUCUGUUUUCUAGGGAAUUCACACAAGUUUUGAUGAGAUAGAUGUAGGACCAAACUAUAAAAACACCAUGAAAAACAUAAAAAACUAUUGUGACAUAGGCAACUAUGUCAUUAAGAAAGGUCUCAUCUGGAAAACAAGCAAGUUUAACAACUGACCAGGCAACACAAAAUAACCUGGAAAUAUGAUUACUGCACAGCUUUAACCGAGAUGCCAUGUAAAUGUUAGUAGAUAGGAUCACAAAAGGUGUGAUCACAGAGAAACACACCAACUUCACCAGUCUCUGCUUUGACAUGAGGGAGUGGUACUUCAGUGGUUGACAUAUAGCCACAUAUCUGUCAUAUGCCAUGACUGCAAGAAUUGAUAAAUCACCACAGGCAAAUGAGAUCACUACCAGAGACUGAACAAGACAUCCAUAGUAGGAGAUAACAUGGACUGAAGACAGCAGAUCCCAGAGAAACUUUGGGUAGAAACCAGUUGAUCCGUACAGCUCAUGAAUGCAAAUUGCACACAGUAGAAUAUACAUGGGUUCAUGCAGGUUUUUAUCCACUAUGAUCGUCACAAUGAGAACUAAAUUUCCCAACACAAUAGAACAGUAACAGAGUAAAGUGAGAGAGAAAAUGACAGAGCGAUAUUUCUUUGUCUCAUUAAGACCUGAGAGAAAAAACACUGAAGUGUUAUCCAUUGGGCUAAUUUCUCUCCCCCCCUUUGAGGAGGGGAUAACCCAGCCCCAAAUAGUCCCAGCUAUCUCUCCUCACAUUUAUUAAUGUAUUCUCAGAUUACAUCAACUAAAGGAGGGAAUUCAGAUGGACCAAUCAGUAAAGUUUGAAUGUCUGUCACCUGGAUACAAACAAAAUGAACAUUAAAAUUAGAGGAAUUUGGAUUCUCAAGCAUUUUUUAAAUGUCAUAAAUCUGGGAAUUCAAAAGUAAUUAUUGACUAUUCAAAUAAUUAAACUUAACUCAAAUUGACAAUUGGAUUGGAAACAAGCUGGUGACAUGACCAAAACAGGGUCAAAUCUUCAGCUGUAAGGCUUAGACCUACCCCCUUCCCACUAAUUUCAGACUUUAAAAUUAAGGAUAUAAAAAUCUCAGAUCUUGUUGCUGAUGGUCUAAUGUGAUUUUGUAUUUCAUUAACACUCAAUUUUGGUCCAUUUAAUAAAUAUCAAUGAACUCCUCAUAGGAGCUUUAAAGUCAGGUAAAGUGGACGUUUUCUGGCCUUGUUGGUGUGUUAAUUUGUUGUGGUCAACUUGGUACUCUAUGUCAUCAUCUUGUAUGCUACAGUUUACAUCCUCAUGUGGCACACAGUAGAAAAAGUUUGAGAACCACCUCUUUGAACCCAUUUUGGUGGUGCGACCUUUUGACCUCUACAGUUUCUACCCUCUGAGAGCCCAUCUAGAGUAAUGCUCAUGAUCAGUUUUUGCAUGUGGGAUUAAUGUAGCAGAGUAACACUGUUUUAGAUAAAUAAGACUCCAUUGCUUUAAGAAGUCUAUUAAUAAGGUCUUAUGUUUUUAGGUUGGUUUAUAACACAAAAAUGGGCAUCCUGAUUGAGUUGAAAAAUAAGUCUUUUAAUAUAACUACAGAGCGUUCUUUUUGUUUUUCAAUGAAACAAACAUAAUUCCUUGUAUGACUUUGGUGUUUAUAUGAAUUCAGACCACUAGCCUUACAUUUUCAAUUUGUAAGAUACUCCUGUUUUAAUUUGAGCUUCCAGCUUGAAGCUUGUGUUUCUUCUUUUUUUCAAUUCACCACAUUCAAGCAAAAAUGCAAAUUAUGUAGACAC